GACGACCGGCGCACGGGUGAGUAACGCGUAUGGAACCUACCUGAAACAGGGGGAUAGCUUCCGGAAACGGGGAUUAAUACCCCAUACGAUUCAUUUGUGGCCUCACAAAUGGAUAACAAGCUACGGCGGUUUCAGAUGGUCAUGCGUACCAUUAGUUAAUUGGUGAGGUAAAGGCUCACCACGGCGAUGAUGGUAAGGGGUCCUGAGAGGGUAGUCCCCCAAACUGGUACUGAGACACGGACCAGACUCCUAGCGGGAGGCAGCAGUGAGGCAUCUUGGUCAAUGGGCGCAAGCCUGAACCAGCCAUGCCGAGUGCAGGAAGACGGACCUACCGGGUUGUAAACUGCUUUUCUGACACGCAGCAUAUAUAGUCUUAGGCCUAUAUUGACGGUACUGCAGGAAUAAGCAUCCGGCUAACUCCGGCCCAGCACCCCCGGUAAUACGGAGGAUGCCAAGCGUUAUCCGGAAUCAUGGGGUUUAAAGGGUGCGCAGGCUGUAAAGCAAGUCAGUGGUGAAAGCCCUGGGCUUAACUCAGGGAUUGCCAUUGAAACUGUUUUACUAGAGUGUAGUAGAGGACGGCGGAAUGAGUUGUGUAGCGGUGAAAUGCAUAGAUAUAACUCAGAACACCUAUUGCGUAGGCAGCUGUCUAUACUACAACUGACGCUGAGGCACGAAAGCGUGGGGAGCGAACAGGAUUAGAUACCCUGGUAGUCCACGCUGUAAACGAUGAUCACUCGUUGUUGGCUACUUAGUAGUCAGUGACCAAGGGAAACCGAUAAGUGAUCCACCUGGGGAGUACGUCGGCAACGAUGAAACUCAAAGGAAUUGACGGGGGCCCGCACAAGCGGAGGAACAUGUGGUUUAAUUCGAUGAUACGCGAGGAACCUUACCUGGGCUUAAAUGCUGGCUGCAUUGGAGGGAAACCUUCAUUUCCUACGGGACCGCCAGCAAGGUGCUGCAUGGUUGUCGUCAGCUCGUGCCGUGAGGUGUCGGGUUAAGUCCCAUAACGAGCGCAACCCCUAUCGCUAGUUGCCAGCAUGUAAUGGUGGGGACUCUAGCGAGACUGCCGGUGUAAACCGGAGGAAGGUGGGGAUGACGUCAAAUCAGCACGGCCCUUACGUCCAGGGCUACACACGUGUUACAAUGGCCGGUACAAAGAGCAGCCACCUGGCGACAGGGCGCUAAUCUCUAAAACCGGUCUCAGUUCGGAUCGAAGUCUGCAAUUCGACUUCGUGAAGGUGGAUUCGCUAGUAAUCGCGCAUCAGCCAUGGCGCGGUGAAUAAGUUCCCGGGCCUUGUACACACCGCCCGUCAAGCCAUGGAAGUCGGGGGUACCUGAAGUCCGUAACC
rnacentral:rRNA from 1 species